UACGUAGGGGGCUAGCGUUGUCCGGAAUCAUUGGGCGUAAAGCGUCCGCAGGUGGCUGUGUAAGUCUGCUGUCAAAGAGCAAAGCUCAACUUUGUAAAGGCAGUGGAAACUACACGGUUAGAGUGCGUUCGGGGCAGAGGGAAUUCCUGGUGUAGCGGUGAAAUGCGUAGAGAUCAGGAAGAACACCGGUGGCGAAAGCGCUCUGCUAGGCCGCAACUGACACUCAUGGACGAAAGCUAGGGGAGCGAAUGGG
rnacentral:rRNA from 1 species